CGAUCCCAUUCCGAACUCGGUAGUUAAGCUCCUUUGCGCCGAUGAUACUUCAUCUCAAGAUGCGGGAAAGUAGGACACUGCCAGGA
rnacentral:rRNA from 1 species